UAUGGGUUAUCACUUUGUGUCUUUAAUUAUAGAUGGUAAUAUUUUACUGUGAGUUAUUUGGAAUUUAAAAUGGGCAGUAUGGCCAUUGUAAAAUCGUUUGUUAUCCCAUUUCACAUAAUCUCCACCAAAUUUAUUAUGUGUCCUAUCUUGCUUUUGUGAAAUCUUUGCAUUUUAUUUCCUAAAAUUAUAAAUAAUUAAUAGAUUGUCUCCAUUGUCCACUGUGAAGCUAGCCCUGAGGGACAUAUAGGAGAGAUUAUAUUUAAGUUAUUGAUAUUAUUUUGCUUUGAGGUGCCUAGCUCCCUAGAUGUGCUCCAUGGGAGACCUCCCCAUAGAGUAUAUAGCUUUACAGCUGAAUACAAAGACAUAUUUUGUGGCUUAUGGAUAAAGUGUCUGGACAGUGGAAAGAGAAUAGGAAGGAGAGCUGUUUAUUUCCGCUGAAUCUUAAAUAUUUAUUGAAGGACCCCGCACAAAGGUUUCUGUUAUUCUGUGUCACAAACUUUUCUUAAGGGCACUUCACCUUAAAUACCCCAUUGCGUCUUGACUGUUGUGACCUGGAAAUGAUGGGGGAUACAUGGAUGAUACAGAGAUAUGGGAAACGAGUCUUAUCGUUCAGGACUACCAUCCUAAGGAAAUGAGGAUGUCUAAAGUAAGUUCUAUUUUGAAUUUGACCUGGAAACUAGUUAGGCUAAGAAUUUGACAGUUUACGACCUCAAAAAGUCUCCAUGGCAGAAACAGAUUUAUUUAAAACAGAAAAUUUAUUCAUACUUGGACAUCAAUUUACUUUUAGUCUGAUUGAAGUUAACACCCAGCCAAACUUUACUACACUUAUUCUUGAAGCUGACAGAGUUCAGACUCAAGCCAAGGAGUAUCACAUCUUACCAAAUACAGUCUAAAGGUUGUUUUCUGAUUGACAGUGCCGUGAGGAGGUCUGAUUGUGUCCUGAUGUUUUUUCUGAAUGGUCCCUAGAAACCAGGUUAAUGUAGAGAUCAACCCAAAGAAAAUCUAAGAAUUUUUCAGAGGUAUCUCCAGAUUUGAACAACAGUGGCGCUCAACGUCCUCACGUUGUCCUCAGUGUGCUGGAUAAUGCUCCAGAUGUAAUCUGAAGCCAGGGGUAGCCUGGAACUUGACCAGAGUCUCCCAAGGGUGCGGGGAGCAGUAGGAUGUACAACAAUGCAGGUGCCUUGGCUACUGAUUCUGCCCAGUGGAAUGUGCAUGAGAUUCUUUUUGACCCGUUGGAGGGAAAAGGAGGAAUAGAGUUGAAUAUGGAAUUUAUUAAUACAUGUCUGAAUCUGAGAGAAGGUAAUGGAAAGUGCGGAAGAGAAUACUAGGAGAGAUUUGGAAUGAAAUAGGAGGAAUAAUACUUUGAUUAGUUGCCACCUUUUUGUGUUGUUGUUCAAAUGCUUGGUAUUAGUUUGGAAAGGAGAGAUUCUUGAAACUUACCUGAGAAAGAAGUUAAAUAGAGGUGAAAGUUCCGAAUCAAGGAGUUUUUCUGGAGGAAUGUCAAAAUUUGGAUUGGUAAUUCUAUGA